CCCGGAGCCCCGACGCGCAGGGCCCCACCCGGCCUGCAGCGCCGCGCACUCGCUGAGGGUGUGCUCCGUCGCUCCGUCGCUCCUAGCCAUCGCGCAGCGUCCCAAGUACGGCGCUGUUAGUCAACAGGUGAAAAGUUUCUCACUCACCUGUUUCCAUCUCCAUGUGCAUCAGAAGCAACUGCUUUAAUUUUAAUAUUAUUCUGACUUCUGGAAUUAACAAAAAGUUUGGAAGAAAAGUAAAGUGAGAGAGUACCUCCCUUCCGCAAAAGGGAGAGAUCACAACCUAAGAAAAGAUGGUUACGAAUGUUUCCUCGAACUCCGAUGUGGGAAGUGAUCCUAGGAUGAGUUGGAAAGAAUUUCAACCUUGGCCCUUGAGAUCUCAACCAAAAGGGGGCCUGGCAUGGGAAGAGGAGCAUGAUCUGGGCAGGAGGUUGCCUGAAGUGACUGAAACCCGCUGGGAAGAUGCUGUGGCCCAAUGUGCUCCAUGAUGGCACCACAGUUAUAGCUCCCAGGACAAGUUAUUUAGAGAAGAACAUCUGAAUAUAUUAAGUCGUCUUCAUGCUGCUUUCCUUAACACAUUUCCCUUCUCUACCAUGAACAAAUCGUGAGAAGAAUAUAAAAUUCAUAGGAAGUGAAAAAAUUGGUGAUUGUUUUUUAAAAUAAAAUCAUCACUUUUCCUGGUCAGAGCAGCUGUUCUAUUUUCCAAGACAAGGAGAAGAAGAGAGAGAAACGCUGGCCCUGCAGAAAAGUGAGUGUGAAAAGUAGAAGGAUGGAGAAGCACUUUCCAUGAUUAAAAGGCCCCUGGAGCCUUCUAGGCGAGGAGCAUCAGUUCAGCCACACUGCGGUCCUCCUGCUGUCCUCAUGCCAGAGACCCCAGCCGAAGACCUGUGACUCACAAUCAAUCCUGCCACUCUUCAGGGGAAAGCCUUCAACCCACCAGGUGGUCUCGCUGAUCCUUUGUUCACUUCUCUAUAAAACUGGGGUACGAAGAUUGCCUUGUGUGACAAGAGAAUAAGAUUAAAGCCCUGUGAAAAUUAGGUGUUAUACAAGUUAUCAUAAUAGUUACAGAAUCCAGAAAGGUGAGGGGGGAGUUGGAGUGGGCCAAAGCUAGCCCAUACGGAGACUUUGUGCACAUUAGAAAAAAAUGCCCCCUUUGGUGGACACAGCCUGGCCCCAGGACUCACAGCUGGGUUAGUGGAACUUGGGCUACCUUAUCCUCUCCAUUGCAUAUGAACUAUCUGCAAAACUCAUGUGGUAGACCCGGUCGUCAGGCCCAUUUGUUCGAGGUCUCAAGUUCAAGGGGGUCUCAAAUUCUGACUUCCAUUCAGUAGAAAUAUGUGCAAAGAAUUAGGAUGAAGCUGUACCACAAUGACGAUUCUAAAUGAUAUUCUUCUUGCCAAGUCCAAAUCCAAGGGGUGAGGGGUCUCACAGUCUCAAGGUGCUUGGGCCUCCCUGAGACUUUUGUAGAGCCUAAUUAUUUAAUAACCUUAACAAAAUUCGGUGACAUUCUGCUUCAGUAAAAGUUUUUGGUUAAGUAGCUGCCUUAGAUGUAGGGCGAAUAAAAUAAUAAUUGCAUGUAGACGCAUAUCCAAUAUGUGUUGUUCACCCUUGGACAGCAUCUCCUUUUACCCUAUUUGAAACCAGACUCAAUACUGGACUCAGUACUUUGUUUCAGCCUUGGCACUGGACUCACUACUCUUUGUUAAUGACUCGUUUUAUCCCAGUUAUGUUGGCCUUCUUUCCUUCUGUUAAAUACAUCCAAGUUCAUCCUA